rnacentral:rRNA from 1 species
UACGUAGGGGGCAAGCGUUGUCCGGAUUUAUUGGGCGUAAAGAGCGUGUAGGCGGCCAUACAGGUCCGUUGUGAAAACUGGAGGCUUAACCUCCAGACGUCGAUGGAAACCGUAUGGCUAGAGUCCGGAAGAGGAGAGUGGAAUUCCUGGUGUAGCGGUGAAAUGCGCAGAGAUCGGAAAGAACACCAACGGCGAAAGCACUCUGCUGGGCCGACACUGACACUGAGAGACGAAAGCUAGGGGAGCGAAUGGG